AUGGAAUUCAGAGCAAGUAAGAGUUUGGAUCCAUUCUGUGGCCUCAUCAAGAGGUGGCAGAAUAGUUGGCAGUCAUCACAGAAAGGCCAGGGAUGGAAAUGCAAACCCAGAUUCUCUUACCCCCUGAAGUACCUGCAGGUCAGGUCUCAGAAGCUGCUAACCUGAGGGAGCUCAGAGCUGCUGCCAGGUUAGUGCCAGGCUCAGAAGCCUGCUGCUCAGCACCAAGCAAACUUCAGUGACUUGAAGCAUUUCAGCAGAGCUUCUCCCAAGCAGGGAGUGCAGGCUGGAGCCCUGGCUGCCCAUGUGGUGUUUGAAAUGCUGUGGGACUCUGAUCAAAGCCUUCAUCCUCUUCUAGUGCAAACCUGAUGAAUUGAUGCUUCUCUCCUGUGCUACAGGGAAGGGCUUUUAGUUCCUUCCCAGAACGCUGCUCCAGCUGCUGCCUGGAGCCAUGUGGGCUGUGAGCAGGUCUCUUCAGGGGGAUUUCCGGAGUGGUUUGUAACUACCCAAUGCAAAGCUGACAGCAGUGAGACAGGGAUGUGACCGGGCUCUUCCAGCUGGCAUUGUCCAAGGGAAGAGUUUCUUAACUCUCUAACUCCAAGAGGGAAAGCCAUGCUCCAUCAAAGCAAUCAGCAGUAGGCUAGGAGCAAGCUAAGUGCAUUUCAGUUCAGGGACUGAUAGAGCUCCCUGCUGCAGAACAGAGUGGGAAAAGCCAAACCCCCAACUGAGUGAGGUGCCCAAAUUCUGCCUGGUGUAAGGCAUCAAACUACCUCUGAAGGAUUUGGUGCAGGGUGAGAAAAUAGGUUAGAGUGCUGUAAAAAGCAGAGAGCAUCCUCAGGAAGCUCAAUCAACAACAAAUCAAUCUCUGUGACAGAAAGAGAUGGGAAGGGAGCCUUAAAAACACCAGAGCAGUGUCUUCUGCCCUCCCCAGUACCUGGGGCCAUAUGGAGAGCCCACAACAAAAGCAUCCUCGUGGUGCUUUCAGGGGUUGCUUUUCAAACCUCCUCCUCCAGCUCCCCUCCCCUUUUCACUCAUCACCACUAAACUAAGGGUGUCUGGCAAUUGAGAAUCUUAUCUACAGUGGGACAUGGGGGAAUGGUUUGGAGCUGAGGCAGAAGUAGUUGAGUGUGAGGGUGGUGAGAGCCUGGCCCAGGCUGCCCAGGGAGGCUGUGGCUGCCUCCUUGCUGGGGGUGUUGCAGGCCAGGCUGGGUGAGGCCUGGGGCAGCUGAGUCUAACUGGCUCCCAUGGCAGGGAGGUUGGAGUGGUUGGUCCCUGAGGCCUCUUCCCACCUGAGCCAUUCAUGAGAAGGAAGGAUUCACUUCUUGCUGUGGCUGAGCACUAAAACAAGAGCACGAGUGUUCUAGGCUCCUGGCUACCUCUUCUCACCAGAAUCUCUGGUUAAUAAUGUCAGAGUGGUUAGCAACAGCAAGAGACACACAUUAGCACUGACCAAUUAGCAUCUUUCUUCUUGGGUAAACACUCUGGGAUGAGUCCUCUCUACACGAGUUCUCUCUUCUAACUCAAACUACUUUUUGUGCCCAAAGGACUUAAAUGCAUAGCUGAGCAGCUAUGAACAGACUGCACUAAGUAUCUGGGGGCUGUGAAAACUUGACUCUGGGAUGGAGGUGCAUAACCUAGAGAGGUGUUUGGAAAGCCACAUUCAGUGCACUCAUUUGCCAUAACUGCUGUCCCCUGCACCUGCCAUCCAAGCAGACUCUUCUUUGGAGCAGUGCUAAGCUCUGCCUGUCUGAACGAAUGCAAGUCUUUAUUUUGUAAAUGAAAGGGUUUUUUAAGCUGUUGUGAAUAUUUCUGUGGAUGUGUAUCAUAUUUGUAUAAAUAAAGCCACCUCAGUUACCUUUGCA